CGCAGACCCUCUGGACCGGGUUUUCCUGGAGGUCCCUGGGGUCCAACUGGUCCUGUUUUACCUGCUGGACCCUCAGCACCUGCCUCACCCUAUGGGGAACAAUCUCCCGGAGGUCCCUGAGGGAGAUGACAAGACACCACUUUAGCAUUUCAACGGCAGAGCAUCAACACACACUAACUGUUCAACAAGACUGUACACACCAGGGGAUGUUCAUCAUUGACUUUGAACACCGUUUCUGAG